rnacentral:lncRNA from 1 species
GUAACUUUUUGAUCCUAGAGGAGAUGUGGGUACUUGACCCAGUUGCUAAUGAGGUGCUGUAUAAUAUCAUGUAUCCUAUAGCUCAAAAUAGCAGGAUGCAGUAUAAAAAGUACAUCAUAAAAGGCACUAUUGGAAUGCUUUUUGUCUUCACAGGCAAUACGCAAAAGAGAUGACCUUCUGAGAAAGUCGGAAGCUGAUUCCCUGCAGGCAAGGGAAGGUAUCAAAGCAAAAGUGACUGAGGUGGAGCACCUUGACAGUGUGGUCAAGAAACUGAAAGCAAGUAUCCAGGACACACAGAAAGAAAAGAAUCAGACAGAGAGAGAAACCAUCGUACUGAGAACUGAGAUUCAGCAGCUAAAUCAGGAACUGCAGGGUGUGCAUAAGCAGUGCAGAAAGACAGCCCAAAGAACUUGCCAGUCAAGAUGAAAAACUUCUUCUAAUGGAAUCCAGCUUGAAAGCAGCUCAAGAGCAGCUAAGUGAGCAAAUAGCAGAAACAGUUCGCCAAGAACAGAACAGUAGAAAAUCACAGACACAGCUGAAGACCCUGAGAGAACGUAUUAUAGCUUCUGAAGAAGAAAUUAGUGAUUACAAACUAUUAUUCAAAGGUUGA